GACGAACGCUGGCGGCGUGCCUAAUACAUGCAAGUCGAGCGAACAGAUGAGGAGCUUGCUCCUCUGACGUUAGCGGCGGAUGGGUGGGUAACACGUGGGCAACCUGCCCUGCAGAUGGGGAUAACUCCGGGAAACCGGGGCUAAUACCGAAUGAUCAGUUUGUUCGCAUGAACAAACUCUAAAAGACGGUUUCGGCUGUCACUGCAGGAUGGGCCAGCGGCGCAUUAGCUAGUUGGUGAGGUAACGGCUUACCAAGGCGACGAUGCGUAGCCGACCUGAGAGGGUGAUCGGCCACACUGGGACUGAGACACGGCCCAGACUCCUACGGGAGGCAGCAGUAGGGAAUCUUCCACAAUGGACGAAAGUCUGAUGGAGCAACGCCGCGUGAGCGAAGAAGGUUUUCGGAUCGUAAAGCUCUGUUGUGAGGGAAGAACAAGUAUAGGAGUAACUGCCUGUACCUUGACGGUACCUCAUUAGAAAGCCACGGCUAACUACGUGCCAGCAGCCGCGGUAACAC
rnacentral:rRNA from 1 species